rnacentral:lncRNA from 1 species
CUUUUUCACACCGUUUAAUGUAUUUUCUGUGGUUUCUUUUUUACUAGUGAAGGCCCGCGCUACGCGGCAAAAAAUUUAUAUAAAUUCUAAAAUAUUUUAAAUUAUAUAGUAAAUAAAAGACAUAAGUAGUACAUUAAUUUAUACAUUCAACUAUACUUUAAAAAAAAAAUAAUAGCUGUUAUGAGAGGUUCAAUAUUUGUCUUCACAGUCUUCAUCAACAUCACCUAAACUGUAAAGUUAGUAAUAUAAGAUUACCAUUUGUAAAAUAUCAACUAAUAAAUUUUAAUUUUAAUAAAAAAAGUUAGAAAAGGAAAAAAAGAAGAAAAAAGAUUGUUGGUCCCACAAGAAAAAGGGCAAAAAAAAAAUCCGUACCGCGCCGGCUCGCGCCCGCUCCCUCCCGCCCACAAUCCAUCGAAAUAAGGAGAUAUUCGAUGUAAAUUUAAAUUUCAAUUUAAAAUUAAAUUUUAAAUUUUAAAUAUAUAUAUAUAUAUAUAGAGAGAGAGAGUAUGGCUAGAAUACUUUUACAAGUAUCACCCAAGUGAUACUUGUGUGUUUUUAGUAUUUGGAUGGAGAGAUGUGAGAUUAAGAUGAUGGGGGUAGGUGGUGGUAGGUGGAAUAGUGUUUGAUCCAAGAGCUAUUUGUAAUCAAAAAGUAGAUCCAAUGGCUAAAAAGGUGAUAGCAACAUGGGAAUGAUAUUUGUAAAAGUAUCCUGGAUCAACUCUAUAUAUAUAUAUAUAUAUAUACAACACAAUAGACAUAUAUC